AGAGUUUGAUCAUGGCUCAGAACGAACGUUGGCGGCGUGGAUGAGGCAUGCAAGUCGGGGGAAUCCCAGCAAUGGGGGAACCGGCGUAAGGGGCAGUAAGGCGUGGGUACCUACCCCGGGGUCCGGGAUAGCCGUCCGAGAGGGCGGGUAAUACCGGAUGACCUCGGGAGAGCAAAGAUUUAUCGCCCCGGGCGGGGCCCACGUGAUAUUACCUGGUUGGCGGGGUAACGGCCCACCAAGGGGGAGAUGUCUAGCGGGUGUGAGAGCACGACCCGCGCCACUGGCACUGAGACACUGGCCAGACACCUACGGGUGGCUGCAGUCGAGGAUCUUCGGCAAUGGGCGCAAGCCCGACCGAGCGACGCCGCGUGUGCGACGAAGGCCUUCGGGUUGUAAAGCACUGUCGAGGGGGAGAAACGCCGCAAGGCUUGAUCUAUCCCUGGAGGAAGCUCGGGCUAAGUUCGUGCCAGCAGCCGCGGUAAUAC
rnacentral:rRNA from 1 species